AGCUAAGAUCAAAGUGUAGUAUCUGUUCUUAUCAGCUUAAUAUCUGAUACAGUCCCCAUAGGGGGCUCAGUAUAUUAAUCUAUUUUUUGGAACCAGGCGGGUGAACGGGGCUUGCUCCGACCUUGCCACGGGUCGACCCUGCAUUGCAUUGCAGCAGGGUACGGCUCAGCAUAGUAAAUAAAACAAAAUUUUUAUUAUAUUUUACCUGUCUGAUCUCAAGAAAUGGAUGCGAUAGUAGUGGAGUGCGCGAAAUUGUGAAAAAGUGACUUUGUGGACAUCUCGGACUUUGGCGCGAAUACUGAGCCCCCUGCGUCGUCGGCGGCCUAUCGGGAUAAGUUCCAUGCGAUAGACCGAGUUUUCAGCUUUAAUUUCAUGUAUAAUAAGUACAAGUUCCAUUUCAUAAUACUCGUGCAACAGCUGAACGCAUGGAACAUGACGGCCGCCGCGGCGCAACAUCUGCGCGCGGUACCUGACGCAUCCGCCGCUGACAGUCUCAAUGCAGCAUAAUUUGCCGCUAACGUAUAAACUCUUCUGCUAAGAAUCCCGACGAGAAUAAACGAUUAUCACAAGAAAUACGCAUUUUUCAUCGCAAGAUGAAUUUCAACGUAUCAGUCUGCUAGUCACGAAGAUCAUAUAUACUCCUUGCCAAGCAGACAUAAGAAUCUCCGAUUUCCCGCGCUGUAUUUUACGACGCCGUCACUACUACCUCGAUACUCAUACUUGCGGAAUGGUGAUUUCGAACAAUACAGGUGUAUCGGGGGAAAGUAUACAAUGGCGAUGGCGAUGGCGAUAGUGGACGGAGUGAAAGUCGAGAUAAUACCGCGCGAUCGUCAACAAACAUGAUGAAGAAUGAUCGUUUGUUUGAGUGGUUUGUUCGACUAAUUGACAUGUCCCAAAUAUGCAAAAUCGUGAUGACAUCAUAAGUCGCAUAUAAAAUUUGUUCAAUUUGAUAGAAAUAUUCACGAUUGCGGAUAUAGAUUAAUAUUUAAUUCUACAUAAUAUUCAUCACACGGGAGAAAGGUUCAGUGAUCCAAUGGAUUCAACCAGAGAAAUCAGUUCUGAUCCAAUGGCGCGACGAUAAGCCGGAACAAAAUCGAUCGAUCGUUUCGGUCGACAUCACUUGCUCUACGCGGCUCGUUGUCAUUCGUUAUCAGCAAUUGCAAGAGGAAAAGAGAAAUUCAACCUUGAUGAAAGUGACCACCGCAUCGACGAAUGAUGACUUCGGAUAAGGAAUCUAGUGUAUCGGGAUAACGGUGUAUUUUUUCUUCGCAAGAAAUGCGCUUUACUCUUCUCAUCGAUAUUAUCAUUAUCGCAUUCUUCGGCCUAACUUUUAACUUUUAUGUACUGCAAAAAGAUCAUUGUUAACCGAUAUUACAGUUUACACUGUCGCGCCUAAAUACCUCUACAGUGAAAAAAUGUAUCAGGUUGCGUUGUAAACGAGGGAACGAUACGAAUCUGCUUAUGCCGAGCAAAACGACGGGGAUGCACGUCGCGGGUCACCGCUUUUCGCGCGCACCCGGGCACUCGGCGAAGUCACCCAAGGCGAGAGAACGAUGAUGAACGUCUCGCCUCGAACACGAAACCCGGUUGAUUUUUGCCUUCAUGCUCUGCCAACCAUGCGCCGCGGUAAUUCGUCAGCUCGCGACCAUGCGACCGACCACGCCCGUAGGAAGAAUUGAACAUAGAUGCUACUACCGUUCGUUACUUCGCAUUCCUGGAUUAAAUCACGAUACGAUUGCGAUCGGUGUUUAGUGUCCAUUCAAGCAAGCCUAAAGAUAAAUGGCAUGCUGAAAACGUGCAUUCUAUGUGUUGCAGUAAAAUAUUAAUAUGCAAAUAUUAUCAAUUUAAUAUAAAAAUGAAUACUUA